GAUGAAGAACGCAGCGAAAUGCGAUAAGUAAUGUGAAUUGCAGAAUUCAGUGAAUCAUCGAAUCUUUGAACGCACAUUGCGCCCGUCAGUAUUCUGGCGGGCAUGCCUGUUCGAGCGUCAUUACGCCCCUCAAGUCCCCUGUGGACUUGGUGUUGGGGAUCGGCGAGGCUGGUUUUCCAGCACAGCCGUCCCUUAAAUUAAUUGGCGGUCUCGCCGUGGCCUCCUCUGCGCAGUAGUAAAACACUCGCAACAGGAGCCCGGCGCGGUCCACUGCCGUAAAACCCCCCAACUUUUUAUAGUUGACCUCGAAUCAGGUAGGACUACCCGCUGAACUUAAGCAUAUCAAUAAGCGGAGGA
rnacentral:misc_RNA from 1 species